rnacentral:rRNA from 1 species
UUUUCCGGUUGAUCCUGCCGGAGACUACCGCUAUCGGAGUCCGAUUGAGCCAUGCUAGUCCACCGGCCUUUGGCCGGGGCGGAUAGCUGAGUAACACGUGGCCAACCUGCCCUAUGGACGAGGAUAACCUCGGGAAACUGAGGCUAACCCUCGAUAGUAGAGAGUUACUGGAAAUGUUCUCUCUGCGAAAUGUUCCGACGCCAUAGGAUGGGGCCGCGGCUGAUUAGGUCGUUGGUGAGGUAACGGCUCACCAAGCCGAUAAUCAGUAGCAGCCGUGAGAGCGGGAGCUGUCAGUCGGCUUCUGAGACAAGAAGCCGGGCCCUACGGGGUGCAGCAGGCACGAAACCUUCACAAUGCACGCAAGUGCGAUGGGGGGACUCCGAGUGUGGUCUUCCCACAAGGAAGGCCACUUUUCUGCACUGUAAGGAGGUGCCGGAACAAGGGGUGGGCAAUACUGCUGCCAGCCGCCGCGGUAAUAGCAGAACCCCGAGUGGUAGUCGUUAUUAUUGGGCUUAAAGUGUUCGUAGCCGGCCGUGUAAGUCCGCUGUGAAAUCCAGGCGCUUAACGUCUGGGCGUGCAGCGGAUACUGCAUUGGCUAGGGACCGGACGGUGUCGAGGCUAUUCCAGGAGUAGGGGUGAAAUCCUAAAAUUCCUGGAGGAGCGCCUGUGGCGGAAGCGCUCGACAAGUACGGAUCCGACGGUGAGGAACGAAAGCCAGGGGAGCAAAGCGGAUUAGAUACCCGCGUAGUCCUGGCCGUUAACAUUGCCUGUUUGAUGUC